UACGGAGGGCGCUAGCGUUAUUCGGAAUUACUGGGCGUAAAGCGCACGUAGGCGGCUUUGUAAGUAAGAGGUGAAAGCCUGGUGCUCAACACCAGAACUGCCUUUUAGACUGCAUCGCUUGAAUCAUGGAGAGGUGAGUGGAAUUCCGAGUGUAGAGGUGAAAUGCGUAGAUAUCGGGAGGAACACCAGUGGCGAAGGCGACUACCUGGCCUGUUCUUGACGCUGAGGCGCGAAAGCUAGGGGAGCAAACGGG
rnacentral:rRNA from 1 species